rnacentral:misc_RNA from 1 species
GCAAAAGUAAGAUUGGCCAUAUUUUACCUGAAACUUGCAAGGGUAUUGCUUAAACAAGGCAAUUAUGAAGAAGGAGGGUAAAAUGGAUAUGCAAAUUUUGAUUUUAUCAUUGAAUUUAAAAACAUAAGUAUUUCCAAGUUAAUGCAAAAGCUAAUGCUCAAUAGAACCAUUGAAUUAGGAAUUAAACGGACUCACAAAGAUAAAACCAACUGAAAGCUCAAGGUGACGUCAUUACUUAGCCAGUAGUCGCAUUGGUGCAAUCCAAUCCUA